GAUGAACGCUAGCUACAGGCUUAACACAUGCAAGUCGAGGGGUAACGAGAGGAAAGCUUGCUUUCCUUGUCGACGACCGGCGCACGGGUGAGUAACGCGUAUCCAACCUGCCCCCAACUAGGGAAUAACCUUGCGAAAGUACGACUAAUACCCUAUAAUUUCCUCAGAUGUCAUCUGACGAGGAAUAAAGAUUUAUCGGUUGUGGAUGGGGAUGCGUCUGAUUAGCUUGUUGGCGGGGUAACGGCCAACCAAGGCAACGAUCAGUAGGGGUUCGGAGAGGAAGGUCCCCCACAUUGGAACGGAGACACGGUCCAAAAUCCUACGGGAGGAAGAAGUGAGGAAUAUUGGUCAAUGGGCGGAAGCCUGAACCAGCCAAGUAGCGUGCAGGAUGACGGCCCUAUGGGUUGUAAACUGCUUUUAUACAGGAAUAAAGUUAGCCACGUGUGGUUAUUUGUAGGUACUGUAUGAAUAAGGACCGGCUAAUUCCGUGCCAGCAGCCGCCGUAA
rnacentral:rRNA from 1 species